UGGGGAAUAUUGCACAAUGGGCGCAAGCCUGAUGCAGCCAUGCCGCGUGUGUGAAGAAGGCCUUCGGGUUGUAAAGCACUUUCAGCGGGGAGGAAGGCGUUAAGGUUAAUAACCUUGGCGAUUGACGUUACCCGCAGAAGAAGCACCGGCUAACUCCGUGCCAGCAGCCGCGGUAAUACGGAGGGUGCAAGCGUUAAUCGGAAUUACUGGGCGUAAAGCGCACGCAGGCGGUCUGUCAAGUCGGAUGUGAAAUCCCCGGGCUCAACCUGGGAACUGCAUUCGAAACUGGCAGGCUAGAGUCUUGUAGAGUGGGGUAGAAUUCCAGGUGUAGCGGUGAAAUGCGUAGAGAUCUGGAGGAAUACCGGUGGCGAAGGCGGCCCCCUGGACAAAGACUGACGCUCAGGUGCGAAAGCGUGGGGAGCAAACAGG
rnacentral:rRNA from 1 species